AUCUUCUGCUAUUCUCAAAUUCACUUAGGAUAAAAACCUUAGGAAGAAUCACUUGAAUCAUCGGAGAGCUCACUACGCUUCCUUUUUUCCUUCCUCUGGUUGUAAGGCUUUAUAUUACUUCCAUUCACCACAAAGCAAUAAUGUCGUGAAUCUCGCAAUUCACCUUUCCAUGGCGAUCUCUCGCUGAUUCCAUCAAUCCAACCGAUAGUUCUUCUGUGUGAAUAUUCGGGAUAAAAAGAAGAGUCAAACUUUUCAGUCAUCAGACUCGUAUACCCUGCAUCCUUGGCUAAACCUUUCAAAUUCCACAAAGUGUAAGGUUUGGUCUCCGCUAAAGUUAUUACAAUUACGCCUUUUUCUGACAGAAGGAAUUUAGAUGCUUUAAAAAAGGCAAGAAGCAUUUCUAGAAUUAAUUAGCGAUAUUCGAGAUAUGUCUCAUUAAAAGUAAUAAAAGCUAUUAUGAACGGCGUUUCCAAAUUUAUUUUUUAAAUUAUUUACGAAUAAAAAACUUUAACUUCAAACUUACUUUGAUUAUCCAAAAUGUUGCGGUCUUGAUCCUUAAUUCCUUUCCCCGAGUGAGGAAAAUUCCAAAAUAUAGUAUCAAAUUUUUGUGUCUUAAGCUUUUUAUGCAGAUGCAGUUUCGUUGCAUCAAUUUCAUGCAUAACCUUUCCCCCAUUUAUUUCUAUUUUUGAGAUGUAUUCAGCAGCAUCUGGAUAUUUCUGCUUUAAAUCUUCUUUAGAGUCAUAGCUGGUAGCUAACACAAACCCCUCAGAUGAUACAUGAUGUAGCAAUAAUGAAAAAGCAAACGAAAAGUUGCCUUCUCCCAAUAAUAGAAAUCUAUUGUUUUUUUCAAAUGGGAGUACAUAUCGCUCAGUGGGGCCUUUGUUCUUCCCUUUUCCAAUUUUGUCGUUUGUUAAAGAAUUCUGGCUAUUUAUACUUGACGAACCAAUAGCAUUAUUUAAAUUUCUUUUUUGAAGACGUCUUGCUUCUUUAAAACGAGCCUUUUUCCCCAUAUGAAUGAAAACGAUUGUUUUCAAUUAUUUGGCUAAAGACACUUCACUACUCGUGGAUACAAAUUUAGGUGUAACCCAAUGUUCUCUUACUCGCUUGCUUAAUCUUUAAAAUAAAAAGCGAGUUAAACGGAAUGUAAGAAUAAAAAUUUUCACGACAAACUAGCAAUAAGUAAACUAGUAUUUUCUCAAUGAACUGUUUUGAUAUAUCCUAAUUUAACUCUUGCUUAAUAUAUCUUUAGAAACAAAUAUACAUCAGUUUAGUGAAAUAUACGAUAUAUAUGGUG